CCACCAGCCCCGUCCACAGCACAGACUCAGACUAAUCUCCCAUAUACAAACAUAUUGAAGUAGGCGACCUCACAGAAUCAUAACAAUGGGGUGACAGAGCGAUGCUCAGAAUAAAUGGACUGCACUCCACAGGCUGCCCCUGCCAACACCAUGACUGUACACUUCAGAGCCGCUCUCUGCUGCAGCAUCACGUCUCAUCCUCUGCCCGUGGAUGACGACUGCUGAGGUGAAGUUUCUUUCCGCUAUUGACUAAAAUCAGGAAGAUGUGGCUGCAGAGAAGAGCAGGAGGAGCAACGCAGAAGAAGUCAUACCCAGGCGUAGCCAGGCCCAGUCCUACACUGCUUCAAAUUAAGAGAUGUUGAUUGGUCACUAACUGCCAGACUUCAAGACUCAUUACUGGGGUUCUCUAUGAGUGUUCUUUAAGACUGUAAACUGUAACACGCACUGUUUAAUGUUCUCUAAAACUGAAGCCAUAGAAUCUAAUAAUACAUAAGCCCAUAAUGUAUUUAAUCUUAAACCUCUGCGUCUAGAAGUUGAUCACAAAUAAUAAUAAUAAUCAACAAUAAAAACAAUAAAUAAUCACAAAAACCACAAUUUGCAAGUAGCCAAAUAAAUCAGAUCCAGACAUUAAAUCUCAUGGAUUAACUAAAACUAAAACCAGCUGUUCUCAUCAGAGUCAAGUCACUGAGUGUGAGUGAAGUAGGCUGGUAACCAGAGUGUAAGUAACUGAGUGAUGAAGUGAAGUGUAUCCAGUUUUUAUAUGACCAGACCAGCCAAUCAGAUAUAAAUAAACUGUGAUUAUUUGAAUGUGGCAUGUUUAUGAUUGGUCAA